GGGAAUGGAAGUGGUCGGGAUAGCUCAG
rnacentral:tRNA from 2 species